CUUGGACACAACCAACAUAAUCCAAGCUGAUAAGUCCACUUCUUUAAGGACUAAUACAACAAACAUGGAUUCAGUACUUGGAAAGGAUUAUGGAACAUUGAAAGACAUUCAAUUUUCAAUGCAAAUCAGGCUGAGCCUCCACUCUCAUUGCUAGUGCUGCUGCACAGCCUACUCUACAAACAUGACAAAGUCCCAUCAACUGUCUACACACAUUUAUCAGUAAAGUGUACGCCCCCAAAUCUUUUCAAGUGCUUUGGAAAACAGAAUUAAAAAGCAGUUUUGCCAUGAAUAUCAGUUGGCUUUUACUUUAAUUUGGAAGGAUAUGUGCCAAAGACACAAAUGAAGUUCAGGUUCAGUGUCCAGUGAUGUGUCCCAAUAUAGCAGAAGGAAAUAUUACAGUUUUUGUUCCCUUUCUCCAAGGCAUAUCCCAUAUAUGGAUGAGAAGCUUUAAUGACUUUUAACUAAAAGAAAGCAGCAGCCAAGAAAAGGCUGCAGUUCUCUGUGCUAUGAACUAAGCCCCUGGCUUCUGGAAACAAACUCAUGGAAGCAGAUGUGGCGUGGUCUGUGCCUCAGCUGAUUCAUAACUUCAAUACAACAAUGCCAGCCAAUAUACAGAAAUGGGUGAAGUUAUAAAAAAAUCCUAGACCCCUUUUCCCAUUGCCCUCAAACUCCUUUA
rnacentral:lncRNA from 1 species